GAAUUUCAUCUAUGACAAUUGACUUUGAGUUAACCAUGUCUAUACCAGAACAUCACAGAAAUAGUCAACAGAGGUUUCCAUGGUGACAGUGGCAGCAAUUCACUCUGGAAGACAUACAUGGCAAAAGCACCCAUCAGCCAUUUUUCCUUGUGACAGCUCAUAAAAUGCUGCCUAAUAGUUCCUUUACAAAAGCCUGAUGUUCUAUUUCUGAAGUCACCUUCUACUCUUUGGGAAUUUUGAGGAAAGACUCAGGGGAACAAAGAGAAAUUACCUGGAUAAUCUUGCCUCUAGCAGUCUCAGGCAAAAGGCUAACCAUCUUACAUGUUUAUGUCAGACAAUAAUCCCAGAUGGCAAAAAUUUAAGAUGUUACUUGAAGGAAUUUCUGGAUCCCUACUCUAAACCCAAUCCUGAAGAUACCACAGAAGGGAGAAAGAAAAUGAUGGAUCUAAAAAAAUAUUGAAAAAAUGGAAAAGUUCCUGGAGUGAGUUCCAGCUGAAGUAAGAGCCUAGGAAGGAAGGAAGACAUUGGAGAGUUCAUAUGCUAUUUUAGCUGGCUCUGUGAUUGCAAUCACACAAAUCACUACAUUCCAGAGAGAUCCCAUGAACAGAAGGUUUUUCCAUUUCAGUCUUUCAAGGAGGCCUUUCCAGGCACCAGAAGCAUGCAGACAUCCUUGCUUGAAUACCACCUUUAGAUGCUCCACUCAAGUCUCCUUCAAGCCAUCAUAGCCUCUAACUUAGAGUAACACAGAAGCUUCCUAACUACUUCUGCCCUUUCCAUACUGACAGUUCAUUAGCAGAGGAACCAAAGAUGUUCAAGCAUAAGUCAAGUAAAACUAGCUUGAAACAUAGUAGUAGGCUGCACACCUAGAAUGGAGCCCAACUCAGGGCUUGAACUCAUGACCCUGAAAUCAACACCUGAACUAAGAUCAAGAGUUGGAUGCUUGAGCCACCAGGGCACCUUUGACUAUUUUUGAACCGUCAACUCUCCAGAUUCUCAGACUUUUGGACUCAGACUGCAACUAUACCACUGGUUCUCCUGGAUCUCCAGACAGUAGACCAUGGGACUUCUCAUCCUCUGUAAUCAAAUUUCAAGUUCUUCUGGAGUUAUGUCGGCAUGUACUCAUUAAAGCUUCUCUGGCCUCUGAAAAAGCAAUCUUUCAACUCCUCCUGAAUGUCUGUUUCCAAAGCUUGAAAUAUCUUCACUCCCAUCAAGUGGUAGCCCACAAAAGCAAUCAAUUCUAUUCCCAUCAGAUCAAACCAACUGCUUCCAUCAGAAACUGAAUGAGAUUUUUAAAAAAUGAAAAGAAAUUGAAUCAGAUCUCUAUACUACAAGCCCUUGGCACUGUGGAAUAACUUUCUCAUUAUUUGAUUUACAAGCAACAGGUCUAAUAAGAAGUUGCUGAGACCAAGAUAGAAGAGGUUACUGCCUAUGUUCUUCAGGGUUUUGAUGGAUUCCUGUCUUACAUUGUACCUGUGUGCCAGCCCUGACUCACCUUCUCAAGUGGACCUAGUGACUAGAAAUAGUCCCUGAGCGAGGGACUUUGUCUACACAUCGCAGAAUCCUUGACAGAAGUCUCAUUUUGAUCGUCUGCCGGGUUUGAAUUGGUGACAUACACACACCCCAGUUGCACCCUGCUCCUGGCCAAGAAAACCUCAAGUUUAGUUUAAAUCAUCUGUCUGACUGUGUUUUUCUAUUCCCUUGUGAUGAACAGGUGUCCAUCCAUACUUCAGCAUAUUUGUUGUAUAGUAAUGAAUCCUCAAAAAUAAAAAUU